UACGGAGGAUGCGAGCGUUAUCCGGAUUUAUUGGGUUUAAAGGGAGCGCAGACGGGACUUUAAGUCAGCUGUGAAAUUUUCCGGCUCAACCGGGAAACUGCAGUUGAUACUGGCGUCCUUGAGUACGGUCGAGGCAGGCGGAAUUCGUGGUGUAGCGGUGAAAUGCUUAGAUAUCACGAAGAACCCCGAUUGCGAAGGCAGCCUGCCAGACCGCAACUGACGUUCAUGCUCGAAAGUGCGGGUAUCAAACAGG
rnacentral:rRNA from 1 species